GGCGGCGACUGGGUUGCGGAGUCCCGGCUGGCCGAGGGAAGGGCCACUGCAAGGUGCCCGGAGCCCCCGGCACCCGCGUCAGAUGCCGGCCGGCGAGCGCGCGGAGAGAGAGACCUUGAGCGGCGUGGCGCGCGUCCUCAGCUCUGCGAGCCCCCUCUGGAGCGGCGGGGAGUACACUGGGAGCCUCAGUCCCUGAACACGGACCUAGAUUUUCUGGACCUGAGGGCCCUUGGCAGAGGGAGCCCGCAUCUUGAGCACGUCUGGACACGAGGGGUGAGAGAAGAGACGCAAGAGAGGUGCCCUCUGUCUCCACCACAAGAAGAUGGCUGUCUGCAAACCAGGAGGAGCCUUCACCAGAUGUCAGACCUACUGGCACCUUGAGCUUGGACUUCUGGGCCUCGAGAACUGUGAAAAUCAAAGUCUGUGAUACUCCGUAAUAGGGGCCCAGACCAUUAACACACCGGCAGUACACCAGGAGGCGCAAUUUAUUGACGUGAAUAAAUUGAAUAAGGGGCAGGCCCGAGAGGGCGGGACAAAAGGCACCCGGUUCCUGGAGGACCCAGAAACAGUCGGCCACAGCAGGCGUUUCCAGGCCCGGUGCCCAUCCCCCACCCUGGCCAGCAGCCAGGCCCCUGCUCAGAGCCGGGAUGCAUCUUGGUUCAAGGCCGUGUUUCUCUGAGCGUCCGUCUGUUCCCAUCACUUCACGUCGUUGUCUCUGACCCUUGCACCGGGUGGUUAUCACUAUCCCCAGUCUGCAGCCUGCUGCCGGCCAGGUCCUGCCCUUCCUGUGGCUGCACUGCGGUCCAGGCUCCUGGGGUUUCCUCAUUGCAGAGGAGCGCCAGCCUCGAUCUCUUGCUUCCAGCCUUUUCCUGUCCCUUAGAGGAAAGAUGCUAGCUCACAGAGAAAGAAUUUUUAUUUUACAGCUGCCUCUCCUUUCUUUAGACUCCAGCCAGUCCUGGGUGCAGUGAGAUCUGAACAGCCAGGUCCUACCGGCUCCCCACGGCUCGAGCUCCUCCUUCAGACUGAGGGUCUUGGGUGGGGGGUCUGCUGGGUUGGCUGAGCCCCGAACGCUGGAGGACAGAACAGGAAAAUGAAGACGUGACGACACCCGCUAGCUCAGUGUCCUAAGUCGGAGGUCCCGAACAGUAUUCCCGGGGCCUCCCCGCCACCCCACCCCCCCCCCCCGCACCUGGGAUCGGAUGCCAACGUGUUCUGCCACCGACCACGCAGCACAUGGCUUGAAAGCAGGGUGCUGGGGCCAGGCCAACGUUUGCCUUUUCCUACACGUCUUGGCAAAGCUGCUCAAAACCCUCUCUUCCCCCAGCAGGAAAAGCAUAUGUUCUUUCCAUAUAGAGGAGAAAUUGUUCCACGAGUGAGUAAGUCUCUUGGCCGCGGAGCCCGGCCCAGCCCGCAGCACGCCGGGCAGGAAGCGGGCAGCGUUCUUACCACCCUUGGAACCAGACCGGGCUGGAUCCUCACCCUGGAAGACAGCGGGCCUUUGGACGGGGCCGGGGGUGGUGGGGAGCGGGGGCUGGGCGAGUGCCCGAAGACAGCUAGCCGGCCAGGGCAGGGCAGAGAAUCCUUUCCCUGAAUAGAAGCGCUUUUCUCCAUUCAGGCGGGGUGGGCGAAGGAGGGAGGGAAGGCCGAGGGGUGUGAGAGGCGAAAGAGACCUUCCCAAUCCCCUCACCCCAGCAGCAAACGGGCCUGAGUCAGAGGUGACUCAGGUACGUGCAGUGAGACAGGGCCAUUUUUAGACCGUCAUUUCCAGCCACCCCCAAAUUCUCCUCGAUGCCUCGGGGUUAGGUGGCAAAAAGGGACCCCAUCCUCAGUGCCUCAGUUCAUUCUGCCGGAUCCGUGUGAACAUACAGGUCUUCCCCAAGCCAGCCCCGGGCCGGAGGAUGCUGCUUGCACCCUUGUCUCAGGGGGUCCUGGUUCCCUUCCCACCCUCUCCCCACUUGCUAAGAAUCGCUGACUAGGGGUUGCGGGGAGUGGGCAGGGAAGGGACAGACAGGCCGGGCGAUGGGCAGGUGGUGGGACAGAGGGGAAGUGGGAGGGGCCCCACAGAGAGGGGAAAACGCUGAUGACGUUGGGGCAUCCAACCUGGAAAGUCAAAGACUCGGGCUAGGGGCGCCUGGCUGGCUCCGUGGGUUGAGUGUCCAACUCUUGGUUUCAGCUCAGAUCAUGAUCUCACAGUUUUUGAGUUCGAGCCCCACUUCAGGUUCUGCACUGACGGCGUGGAUCCUGCUUGGGAUUCUCUCUCUCUCUGCCCCUCCCCUGCCUUCACUCACAUUCUCUCUCUCUCUCUCUCUCUCCAAUAACUAAGCUUAAAAGACUCAGGGUAGUAGAAGUGAGAGACGUGAAAAUGAUGUCAAGGUAGGAGACAGGUCACCCCGUAGAAGUGGGAUUGGAUUUAUCCUGGGUGGGAACUUCGAUGGGGCAAGCCCUGAGCAUAUAAAUCAGGGCCCCAACCCGCUGAGGAGUGCUUUCAAGGCAGCGCAUUCUCGGGGCACCUGGGUGGCUCAGUCGCUUACGCAUCCGACUUUCGCUCAGGUUGUGAUUUCACAGUUUGUGAGUUCGAGCCCUGCACCAAUCUCUCUGCUGUCAGCACGGAGCCCUCUUUGGAUCCUCUGUUCCCCCCUCCCCAACCCCCACUCUCUGCAUCUCCCCUGCUCUCUUUCUCUCAAAAAUAAAUAAAUGAACACUGGUGUUCAUUUAGGUCCCACACUGGUGGCCCGGGGGCCAGACACAGCCCUGAAGAUGUUUCCACCGGUCAGCAUUUCUGCACGGCCACCAUCAGCUGAGUCCACACAAUCUACGCACGGCCCGUGCUGCAGGGCACGUCAGGCCUGAGUCCCUCCUUUGUUUCCUGGACUGGUCCCUUAGGCGUUUACGCCUGGGAGCUUUGGAGCACCUGCCCACACUCUCCCUUCUCCUCUAGCUCACCCUGUAGGCCCACCUGGGGCGGGAGGAGGCGGGCUCAGGUGAGACCACAGGUCCUGAGCCGCCCUGGCCCGGACGCCAGGUAGAGCGCUCACCUGGCGAGAGACCAGCACCCCUGCAAACUCCCCCUCCCUCUCCUGGAGCUGUCAUUACGCUGGGCUCUAUCAUGGUCUCUGGGGACUGGACAGUAGCUUCACUCACCUGGCCAUCCUGCCCUGGAGCAGAGACAGUUCCCCAGGGUGUUUAGGGUCUGGGAAGGGCACCCAGGGGCAGAUGCACCAUGAGCUGAGAUAGAAGGGACAAAGUAAGAACGGACACGCCCGACCCCGGGUCCAGGAGGGCAGCGCUCGGGGAGGAUGCCAGUGGCUGUGGGUCUGAAGGAAGCUGGGGCAGGGUUGGGGAGUGGAAACUAGCCGGGGGAGUAAAGUGGGGCGGCUAAAGGGCUCAGGAAGGAGGGAGCAGAAGGCAAGGCCCAGCUCCACCUUCUGCCUGUGUGUCUGGGGUGGACCCUGACUUGUACCUGCCAGAACCGAGGGCAGAAGGGCAGGCGGCAGUGGCCUCGCUGGGCGACGAGAUUCCACCCGAAGCCUGUAUAGGCGGCGGCAGAUUGCAGGGCGGUUUCACUUCCCCGGCCCUAUCUGCUCCCGUGGACAGCUACGGGCGUUGGGACUAACAUACCCAUUUUACAGAUGAGGAGACUGAGGCAAAGUUGUGCAAGGAAGACUCUAGCCCCCGGGUAAGAGCAGGGCUCCUGCUUUCACCAGCUCUGCUUUCUGAGUUGCUUGUCCAGGCCACUGGGAGCGGACGACACAACUUGCAAAGCAGCCACGCAGCAAGCAUUAGCUCCUCCUCCUCCACGUUUCACAGCCUCAUCGAAUGACACUGACAUUUGCAGGCAAGAACUCCAGCUGUGCUGGGACCCAGGUAGGUCGGGAGUUCAGAGGCGGGCCUUUAUUUUACUGACGAUCGGUAGUUCACAGGUCCUCACCCCGCUCCGGCCUGGUGCUGGGCACCCUGCGAAUGAGGUCGCAGCCCCCUUCUUGGCCCACCUCGUGGGACGGCUGCUCUCUCAGGGGUGAGACCCGCAAGCCAAGUCAGCCUGACUCUGAAGCUGGUGCUCUCUGGAGGACCACCUCGGAGUCUCCCAUGUGACUGUGUCACUCCUCCCGGGGAACUGGCUGUACGGAAGAUGGGGGCUCCUGAGCGGGGCCAGAGCCCACGGCACACGCCCCCUCUGGGGUCCUGACCCUCCCCUCGGCGUCCGCCUGGGAGGUAGGGUGGGCACCUCCCCACGGGGGGCAUCCUAGCACCACAGCUGGAAGCGGGAAGCUGGGUACGGAUUUCCCUGGGGAGUGCCGCUGCUCUGGGAGUCCUGGUUCUCCCCUCCUUCCAAGGAGGCCUGAAGGCGUGGAAAGGACCUUGACCUGGGAGUCCGAGAGCCCAAGCUCACCUUCUAGGCCAGGCUGCUUCACCGUCCCAGCCCCUCUCUGAGCCUCAGCUCAGGGGCUAAGUGAGGGCGGCCUAGAGGGUCACGGUUGCAGCCCCCUAACCAUUUUUAAAGACAGCCCCUCACACUUCUUGCCCAAGUGUUCCUCCAGCCGGUUCUGCCUUCAAGGCCUCAGGCCCAGCGGACGGCCCAAGGGCACCACCUGCUGGCCAGUCUCAGCCAGGCAAGGCGGCCGCACCCGGCUGCUUUGAAGGCUCCCCCAGAUCAUCCCAGCAGAGGGCCAGGUCACAGCCCUGGAAGUCAGGUGGGCGCCAGGGCAGGAGAGAGCAAGCUGCACCUCCCCGCAUUCCCAGACGGGGGAGGGAGUCCUCCAGGUCCCCAGAAGUCAGUGUGCGAGUGGGGGGCGCUGCCAUUAUGAGGCAGUUGGGCCUGGAUUUGAGUCCCUUGUGUCCUUAACCUUACCUGAAGUCCCUCAUCUGUGGGGUGGGGCCAUUUGGGACACAUUUCUCAGGGCUGUGGGCCUCUCUCUGCAUGAGCUGGCGGCCAGAGGGGAUGGCAGGGGUCCAGCCUGGUGGCACCCGGACCAUAGGCCAGUGGCUCUCAGCUGCAGCCGCACGUUCAAUCACCUGAUGCUUAGCGGUGGCUUUCACAGCGUGGUCCUGGGUCGCCAGCAUCAGUGAGGAACUUGUUAGGAAUGCAGAUUCUGGGGCCCCACCCCAGUCUGGCUGAGUUGGAUAGUCUGGGGGUGGGGUCCGGCACCCUUCAGGUGAUGCCGAUGCUUGGUCAAGUGUGAGAACACGGUGCUUAGGGACUGGGGUUGCUUAAAAAGCAUCUCAGGUGCCUGAAGUGUCCUCGGUACCAGAAUCGCCUGCCCCCCUCCCCCCAGGGUAAUUCUGGUUUGGAGGGACCCCGCCAUGGAUUAAAAGUACCAACUCUGCAUCUGCUGCUUCCGAUGAGCAGUGACUGCUCUGGUGUGCACCCUCCUCCCCACACGCCAUGCACGCCCUUCCAUCAGAGGUCAGGGACCCACAGCAGAGUGCAGUUGCUCUCCCUGGGGUCUCCCAAGACAAUAACCACCAGUUACUGACAUUUGCUGAGUGCUCAAGCUAUGACAGGCGUGGUGCUAGGGGCUUUGUAUGCAACGUCUCAGGAGAACCCUAGGAAUUGUUAGAAUCCCCCAUUUUACAGGUGGAGAAACUGAGGCACAGAGCCAUUAAGUCACUCGCUCUGGGUCACACGGCUCCUAAAUGCCAGAGCCCGGAGUCCAGCCUCGUUCUCUCUGACUUCAGAGUCCCCUGCCUUUGCUUCCUCGUUUUACAAGAGGAGGGGCAACUUGCUGAAGGUCACUUCGGGUAGCACCCCCCACAGUCUCUGUACCUCGGCUUCCGGGCUCACCAAGGGCCUUGGCACCCAUUCCAAGAUGACACGAACGGACCUCUGAGCCUGGUGCCACUCCCCUGGGCAUAAGCACAACAGGAAAAGGGAGGCAGAGGCAAGGGCAUUACUUAGCUGCAUACCACCUAGAUUCUUCAAGGAUUCCAGAUUAUUAAAGAGACUGACAUACAUAUGCUCCCCAGCCCCCCAUUCCAGCCCCGUCUUCCCUGUUGUCUAAGCCUCGCGUGGACCACGGCCCGUCACCAUGACCCGGCUCCGAAAAAGGCAACAGGAGUAGCCACUGGGGCAGCAGAAAAAAAUAUAGAGCCAUUUUACUACUAAAGACGUGUUUUCCAAAAGCAGGGGAGUUGCUGUCCCGAAGAGAAGAAGACCCUGGGGGAGUCCCUGCGGAAGGGGCCGGCUGGAGCUGCGGUCACCCACCACCGGGCCGGCAGCCCUCAGCGGGCCCGAAUUUGCAGGGAGAUUCGGUAGAGCUCCAUCGUCGCCCUGGCGUCUUCCACCGAGCUGUGUCCAAACUGGCUGUUCUGUAGACACAUGGACAGAGCGGGGGGGGUUGGGGGGGGACUUGGGGUAAGGCUGAAUGCAGAGACCCCCUGUGACCUGGGCCUUCCCCACCUGCACCCCGGUUUCCCGGGCCCUGAGGGGGGUCAGUGGGUGAGCAGCCCCAGCCUUCUGACACCCUGGACGCUGCAGGUGGCUGGAGCAGGCCCGGCUUCUCCUGUCUGACCCAGAACUGGGGCACUAGGCCCAGGCAUGACCAGGCACAGCUUCCAGCAUCCGGAGAACCAGGCUGUGUCCUCGAGGUGCUUAUAAUCUGCUGAGGGGAGGAGGGGCUGCAGACACACAGACACAGAGGGAGCUCCAGGGGACCAGGCGAA